GACGAACGCUGGCGGCGUGCUUAACACAUGCAAGUCGAACGGAAAGGCCCUGCUUUUGUGGGGUGCUCGAGUGGCGAACGGGUGAGUAACACGUGAGUAACCUGCCCUUGACUUUGGGAUAACUUCAGGAAACUGGGGCUAAUACCGGAUAUGAGCUCCUGCUGCAUGGUGGGGGUUGGAAAGUUUCGGCGGUUGGGGAUGGACUCGCGGCUUAUCAGCUUGUUGGUGGGGUAGUGGCUUACCAAGGCGUUGACGGGUAGCCGGCCUGAGAGGGUGUACGGCCACAUUGGGACUGAGAUACGGCCCAGACUCCUACGGGAGGCAGCAGUGGGGAAUAUUGCACAAUGGGCGGAAGCCUGAUGCAGCAACGCCGCGUGCGGGAUGACGGCCUUCGGGUUGUAAACUGCUUUCGCCUGUGACGAAGCGUGAGUGACGGUAAUGGGUAAAGAAGCACCGGCUAACUACGUG
rnacentral:rRNA from 1 species